ACACAGAGGAACCAAACUUCGCAGGGAGACGAACUUCACUACCGUUUGCCUGGAGUGAAAAAACAAAACAAAACAAACAAUGAGUGAAGAGACCUUAGAAGUGUGAGCUGUUUGAGAAACUUGGGAGAGACGUGUUUGUGGUUUGUUGCUCAGCGAGGGAUUUGUUCCGGAAGCCCUGAUCUGCACCUCACCCGUCCAGACAAGAUGGAUAGAGGGGAGGAAAGCCAAACCUUGUAGUCUCAAAAGUGCUGUUAGAGGAGUUCUCUGAAAGCAACCCGGACAUAUAGAUGUUCUUUAUCAUUUCUGGUGGGUAAUUCAGGUACAAAAUCUGUUUUGAUUGUUAUGUUUUCCCCAUCUGCUGUCUUUUGCAUAAUUGUACAGUUUUAUUGUCAUUUUGCAGUAUAUUUUAUUUGUAAUAUCAGCUAUAACAUCUGUUGCACCUCAUCCGCCAAACCCUCUUCUAGUUACGAAUCGUGUUUGUUAG